rnacentral:rRNA from 1 species
GAUGAACGCUGGCGGCGUGCCUAAUACAUGCAAGUCGAGCGAACAGACGAGGAGCUUGCUCCUUUGACGUUAGCGGCGGACGGGUGAGUAACACGUGGGUAACCUACCUAUAAGACUGGGAUAACUUCGGGAAACCGGAGCUAAUACCGGAUAAUAUUUCGAACCGCAUGGUUCGAUAGUGAAAGAUGGCUUUGCUAUCACUUAUAGAUGGACCUGCGCCGUAUUAGCUAGUUGGUAAGGUAACGGCUUACCAAGGCAACGAUACGUAGCCGACCUGAGAGGGUGAUCGGCCACACUGGAACUGAGACACGGUCCAGACUCCUACGGGAGGCAGCAGUAGGGAAUCUUCCGCAAUGGGCGAAAGCCUGACGGAGCAACGCCGCGUGAGUGAUGAAGGUCUUCGGAUCGUAAAACUCUGUUAUUAGGGAAGAACAAACGUGUAAGUAACUGUGCACGUCUUGGCGGUACCUAAUCAGAAAGCCACGGCUAACUACGUG